AAAAUACUUUGAUGACAAGGAAACCAAAGAUUGGCCUUUUUUAUGUUUACUCUGUUUUCAGUCUCCUUCACGAAUGUAGCAUAUUAAGAAGGGAAGUGUGCUCUUGGGAGUAGAUCACACAAAAGUUCCUGUACUCUGUCAAUUUAGUGUGGUUCUGUCUUUAUACAAGUAUUAUUUAAGCCAAACAGCUUUCUGAAUUUUUGAUAGCAAAAAGCUUUAUGUAAACAAAGAAUGUUAACACUAAUGAAAUGUCAUGUGCUUUCAGUCUGUCCUAUGAGUAUAAUACCAGCUUCCUGCUCUCAACUUUUAAAGGUGUCUAUUUAUAAGUAACUGUAUAUAUACAGAGUUCCAAACUCACAGCUUCUUAGCUUUUUGUCAGAAAGUUCAGGUGAAUUUCUGACAUUUUUUUCCCAUGCUUUUUUUUUCAAACCUAAGUUUUCUUCCUCAGACAGCAGCACUGUUUGCUUUUGAAACUUUCGCUUUUUAUUUAAACAUGUUUUCUUCAUUUCCACUUUGAACAUUUAAAAUGUAUAGUGCUCUCAUCUGUUUAGACUGUAUGCCUUCUUUUAGGCUGUAUUCCAGGUUUUUUACUGGUAUGACAAGGCAUUAAGAGCCUGCUCCCUUGGCACUGCUCGUGCUGGCUGUGUGUCUGAGUCUUACUGAUAGAAAGAGACUGUUUAUUAGCUGCUCUAAGCUGCUCUCCAGUUCCCGCCAGGAACCAAAGAGGAUUGUGCCACUUGAGUGAAGAGCUGCCUUUGUGAACUGUUAGCUAGAUCAAGGGUGAUGCUGCUCCAUCUAACUUGAGCUGUAUUUAUCUUGCCAAUACAAGACUUAACGGUCUAAGACAUGCUCAGGGGAGGAAAAAAUGUUCUGCUUCUAAACACUGUCAGUAAACAAAAAACUCACAUCCGAAUUGGAAAAGUUGUCUUUUGUCUGGAAGCUGCUGCUCACAGGAGGCUCAGGAUGGAGGUAUACAGCAGCUCAUUUAUAGCUGGCCAUCCCACUUUGUCUGUGGUCAGAGUUCUGUGCCCUCACGGAGAGCCCAGGGUAGUCAGGGUAGAGAGCAGGCCUUGACCUGGUCCUCUAGAAACACCUUACCCAAGAUAUCGCCUCCAAGCUCCAGCUGUGGCCCUUCUGCUGCGGUGUCCAUUGGAUCUCCUGAGAAUUGGGGAGAUGUUGACCUGCCUGCGCUUCCAGAUCCCUGGCUGGCCUGAGUAACUGAUUAGGAACCCAUUUACAGACGAGAAGAGCCUGCCUCUGCUCCUGAAAUAACAACAGAAGAUUCUUACCCUAGAGAAUUUGGUUUCACGUUUGACCAUAGGACUAGUGUCUGCUUAGUUAACAAAAUAAUCUUCUCUGUGUUCACAACUAAAAACAUGAAAUUAUGGCAUCAUUUUUCUGAAAAACAAAACCAAUCCUACAUUUCAGAUACAAAUGUCAGUGACAAACAAUUUAAGUAUAUGUUGUAUUAUACAUCUUUACUCUUGAUUUUAAUUUUUUUAUUUUUAGCAGCCACUGGCCUUGAACUCUCUUGUCUCUCCCUCCCAAAUGUGGAGACUAGAUAUAUCUGGCUAGAUUGAUUUUUGUUCUUGCCUAUAGAGCCAGCUGGAGUGGUAUUGGUAUUACAGUGUUCAGUUUAUAUUUUACCAAGUGUGUGAGGAUGGCCUUUUCUCAUAACACACUACAGGAGUAAGGAGUAGUAACAGGGAAAUGUGGCUGUUUCCCUCAGGACUGGGAUUCAACCAUCAGGUUCCUGAAUGCCCGGUACAUGUCCUCCCACUCAACUCAGGCCCUGUAUUUGUUCUCCUUAAGUGAGAUAUAGUUCAUCUUUGGGCCUUUUUUCCAGGCUUUUGGCAUUCCUAGGUAUUAAACCUAUAGCUUCCUAUAUACCAGGCAAGUGUUCUACCUCUAAGCUGCAGCCUCAGCUGAACUGUUGUUCAAAUUAAUGGGUGGUUAUAAGAACAAUGGGGCCAUGAAUAGUUGAGCUGUUUGCUUCUGUUAGAUCUCUUUCCCAGUCCAGUGUGGAGGUAUGCUCCCAUCUACUUUCAGCUUUUUGUUUGGAACAUGGUUAAAUAUACAGCAGUUAGUCUAGAUUUCCUCUCCUCUCCUCUCCUCUCUGCUCCUUUCCUUUCCUUUCCCCCUUUUUUUUUUUUUUUUUUUGGACAUCUGUCUGGUUCAUUGGCAGAAGUACCAAGUUCCUGAGGUAAGGCUGUAUUGGGGACAUCUGAAAAUGGAAGAAUUACUUGCAGGAUUGUGAGAAGGUGGGAGGUGAAAGGGUUGGUGUAUGAUGUCCUAGGAGUCAAGCCCAGGCAAGUGCUCUCAAGGCCGGUGUGCUGUAAGUUAGGGUUUGGAUCCUCUCCCUCUCAUUUGUAUAUUGUUUCCUCGAAGUCCUGAUAAUCAGGUGAAGAGCAGCGUGGCUUGUCUGCGCAUGUUGUUGGGUGUGAAGUGAUCUUGUAGCACCUGUAACUGUUUUCAAAGAGGAGCUGAUCUUCAGGUGGCCAAGUGUCCUUGAAGUAUUACCUGGCUGCUGGAGACGCCUCUUCACCCCUGCCUGACUUAUACUCCCUGCCACCCUCUGUUCUCUUGCCCAUUAGAGGGUGUCAGGCUGAGCAGCCCUGGUGUAAGGCGCCUCUAAAGGGAAGUACAAGCCAAGUGGUCUCAUGUGGCUGUUUCCUGGUAUCCUUUAUAUUUUCUCACAUAAGAAUGUAUAUUUUACAGAGCAUGUGUUCGUCCUGUCUACUGUAAUGUCAAUAAAGCUAAGACAUU
rnacentral:lncRNA from 1 species